rnacentral:rRNA from 1 species
CCUACGGGAGGCAGCAGUCGAGAAUUUUUCACAAUGGACGAAAGUCUGAUGGAGCGACGCCGCGUGGAGGAUGAAGGUUUUCGGAUUGUAAACUCCUGUCACUGCAGAACAAGGCUGCGCGUAUGAAUAGUACGCGCAGUUGAUGGUAUGCGGCGAGGAAGGGACGGCUAACUCUGUGCCAGCAGCCGCAGUAAU